GACGUAGGGCGCGAGCGUGUCCGGAUUUAUUGGGCGUAAAGAGCUCGUAGGCGGCUUGUUGCGUCUGCUGUGAAAACUCGGGGCUUAACCCCGGGCCUGCAGUGGGUACGGGCAGACUAGAGUGCGGUAGGGGAGACUGGAAUUCCUGGUGUAGCGGUGAAAUGCGCAGAUAUCAGGAGGAACACCGGUGGCGAAGGCGGGUCUC
rnacentral:rRNA from 1 species